GCAGGCAGCAGCCAGUGAGAGUAGUUUGGAACCGUGUGAGGAGAAUCUGGGCUCCGUACAGUAGACGCUCACAUACAGUGACACUGGUACAUUUGUCAGUGGAGGAUGGGCUGUUCACACCUCACAUAUGGACGAAGAAAAACAAAGAUUUGAGCAGGAAACCUUCCGUUUUCCCGCCGCGGAUAAGCAGCUGUUGCUGGAAACAAAGCCGUUCUGACCAAACACGGAUUUCACUUUUUUUUCUUCUGAGGCUUCAUUUGUGGAGGUGGUGGCAUCACCGGCCGUCGCGCUGUUGCCAAAAUAUAUAUAUUUUAAAAGCUAAAACAGGGUUUUUCUCGGGUACAUCAGCAGUUAUGUGUCUUUCUCUACACCGACGACCAUGAAGAUUUUUGGGAGGUGAGAUGCUCCAUUUUUCCGGACUGGGCUUCAGUACUUGAGCUGCUCCUGAGCUCCAGCAUGGGAGAAUGAAGCAGGUCUUGCUACCAUGAAGAUGGUGCCGUGUGGCCUUGGGGACAUGAUAUCCGCGUGUCUGCCAUCAGAUUUUAUGUGAACUCUCAUGCAAUGAUGCCUGCUCACCCUGGAGAAGAAUGGUUCUCUCCACUACCAUUCCCCUUCUGGAUACAGGGGACAUUAAUGGCCGUUUCUGCUGCGUCGUUACGAGGUUGCUGAACCUUUCUGAGAGGCUACCAAUGGAAGACCUCUCCGAGGCAAACGUUUCCCUGGGCUCCGGGUCUCCCUCGGAGCCGGUCACCCCAACGGCAAAUGCUCUGGAAAUCCAGCAAGGUGUUGGCCUACCUCUGCAGAUCUUCUUCUGCUUUGUCAUGGCAGUCAUCCUUUUAGUGGCGCUGUCAGGAAACAUAGUAGUGUGCCUGAUGGUGUACCAGAGGUCUGCCAUGCGUUCAGCCAUCAACAUUCUGCUGGCUAGUCUGGCAUUUGCGGACAUGAUGCUGGCCAUCUUGAACAUGCCCUUUGCUCUGGUUACUGUGGUGACCACCAAUUGGAUUUUUGGAGAUGUUUUCUGCCGCGUUUCAGCCAUGUUCUUUUGGUUUUUUGUUAUGGAAGGAGCAGCUGUACUGCUUAUAAUAAGCAUUGAUCGUUUUCUUAUUAUUGUCCAGAAGCAAGAUAAGCUGAGCCCACAGAGAGCCAAGCUGCUCAUAGUGGUCACAUGGGGACUCUCGUUCAUUUUCACUUUCCCCCUAGCUGUUGGCUCACCUCCCUUACAGAUCCCACCCAGAGCUCCUCAGUGUAUAUUUGGCUACAGCAGUGAUCCCGGUUACCACGCCUAUGUGUUGAUAUUAACGCUAGUUUUUUUCUUCUUGCCUUUCACGGUCAUGCUAUACACAUUCAUGGGCAUCCUCAACACCAUCCGCCACAAUGCCAUUCGCAUCCAUAGCCACACAGACAGCGUCUGUCUGAGCCAGGCCAGCAAACUGGGCCUCCUCAGCCUCCAGAAGCCCUUCAAGAUGAACAUAGACAUGAGCUUCAAGACCCGUGCCUUCACCACCAUCCUCAUCCUCUUCUCCGUGUUUACAGCAUGCUGGGCACCCUUCACUGCCUUCAGCUUGGUAACUACCUUCAGUGACAGGUUCUACCACAAAGACAGCUUUUUUCAAAUCAGCACAUGGGUAUUGUGGUUGUGCUACCUCAAGUCAGCCCUCAAUCCUCUUAUUUACUACUGGCGGAUCAAGAAGUUCCGCGACGCCUGCCUCGAUCUGAUGCCCAAAUACUUCAAGUUUCUUCCUCAGCUGCCAGGCAACACAAAGAGGCGCAUACAGCCAAGUGCUGUGUAUAUAUGUGGAGAGCAUCGCUCUGUGGUAUAAGGCAUAACUCCUCUCUGAAACACUGUUAAAAUGCAUCUUAUCUCACUAGGGUUUUCUCAUGGUUUACUUCUCUUAGCAGGCUAUAAGACUGAGGUUAGCACUGCAUUAAAAAUAUAAGGGGGCUGAGGUGGAAUGGGUUAUUGCUACAGAAGCCAGACUGAAGAUCCAAUCCGGGAGGUACACGGUGAGUCCAACAUCCCAGAGAUUUAAAGGUUGUCAGAUGAGAAAUCGCAAAAUUUCCAGUAUAAGACCUCAUUGUCAGUACUGAAACUGUACUUUAUAAGUUGUUGUUUUUUAAAACAUCAAAUGUGAAGGUGAGGAUUCUUCAUCAACAAAGAUUUGGUUGAGCUUUAGUUUCCACAAGAAGUAGCAACAGUCAGUCAUGAACAGACAGAAUGGUGUUUGCAUUUAGUGGUUAAAAGUUACGUAUGUUGGGCAGGAAAUUCAGAGUGAGGCGAUCCUUUUGAAAGGCAAAAAGGUCAUGUGUGCACCAUGGCUUAAGCCUGGAGUUGGACGCCCCUGGCUUAAGUAAACAUAAAUAGCCAUUCAGGAUGACUGAUUGUGGCAACAGUUAGUAGACACACCUUUAGAAUCAUUGCUGGCUUUACCAGGCAGCUUGCUUUGUGCAUAUGUGCACUUUAAGGUUUGUUGUGGUAGUUUUUCUGGUUAAUGCAGUCUAGUAUUAAACACAAUACUAUUUAAUGAGCUUCUUUGUCAUUCCUAAGACUCAAACCACUCAAGCUACUUAUUGAUUCACACAUAAAAAAACAAGAAAAAAGAGAGUUGAUGUGAGGAUAAAGUCAAAGAUUGACCAACAAUGAACCCAUGAUUCAUUCCAUCUGUUGGCUUUUACAUUAGAAAAGAAAGAAAUUCCAUCUAAAAACAAAUAAUAAAUACCUGGGGGGCUUUUAACUAAACUGGGUAGACUUCAGGGAUUAUUGGGUGAUCUAAGCUCAGGACUUGUCAUUUGAUGUGUUGUGUAUAUGAUGACGACAUUAAAAUCGUUUUAUCUGUUCGCACUUUAGGAUAGGCUCAAAAUAUUUGAUGACAAAUGUGUGGUCCAAAGAUUCAAAAUUUUACAGGACUCAGUAGAUUCAGUAUCAGCUUCUGAUACUUGAUAGUUCUUGGCAACAGUGCCGUGGUGGAAUAUAACAGGCUCGACUAAAAUGUGCUGAGACCCUGUACCCAACAAUCCGGAGCAAGCAUUUUAAAUAAGCACGAUUCUGUUGCUGUUAGUCAAGAAUGACCUACCAGUGUGCGUGCAGUCUACCUGCUCAGUCUGUCCAGUGUGGUGGGAUAUGAUGUUCUAUUGUUGGCAAAUGUUGGGUUGGAUCAACUGGAUGUCUUUGCAGUAUCUGCCUCAAAGCCCCACAGUGGUUCAAUGCAGUGUUAAUGUCAGUCUGCCUUUAAAUGGUCAGGGAGUGUAUGAAGAUUCUCAGAAAGUUGUGAGGCCUCCAACAGGUCGACGGCAACUGGACUACCAUACCAAACCCCCUACAAUUUGACCUAUACAGCAGCCUUUAGGGUAAUGGGAAUCUUUAGGUUUUGUGUUGUUCAUCUUUAUAUACAGUAUAUACAUCUUUAUAUUCAAAUCUAUAUCUGCUGUAUCUCUGUGCCUAUUUUCCAAAUUUUAAUCUUGAGCACAUCUUUUGAAACACACUGGAAGUCCAUUUGGCAUUUGAGCCUGUAGAGCAGGGGUGUCAAACUCCAGUCCUCAAGGGCCAGUAUCCUGCUUGUUUUUGAGAUAUCCCUGCCCUACCUGCUGCUCAGUACCUGGAUCAGGUGUGCUUUGCCAAUAAGAAGCUACAAGGGGAGGUUAGUUGGAAAGCAAGCAGGACAGCGGCCCUCAAGGCCUGGAGUUCGACGCCUGUGCUGUAGAGAGUCUCGACCAUUCAGGAAAUUCAGGAAAUAACAAGUGAAAUGCAACUGUUUUGUCAAAAAUAAUAAGAUAAGACAAGUGGCUGCAUAUUACAGGUGAAGACACUGAUCUCCACCUGCAGCAGUUUCAGAGUCUAAGCUAGUUCUAGGCCAGCUCAGGCAGUUUACAGCUGGGCUUUCACCUCACUUUUUAGUGCCAAAGUUCUUUUUUUUUGUCUUUUUUUGAGCUUAAAAUCAGCCUACAUUUGGCAAAAAUAUCACCUGAAAUCAAGAACUAAUACCAUAUAAACCGAGCCGUACUUCAGAGACCAGCUCAUCUAAAACUGCAGCAUUAGAGAAACCUGCUCUAAAGCCAUCACUGCUGCAUUUACUGAGCCCACAAUCACCCACUUCUCCAAAGGUGAGACGGUGUCAGUCAGGUUUUUUUUUUUUUUGGUUUUUUUUUAAAGACAUUAUCUUAAGUGAAGAAGUUGUCUGAAGGAAACCAUAAAAAUAAACGAAAAGUCUUUAUAACUCCUGAAAGGCACUGAUUGGCACAUGCUGUGCAAGAGAAAAUGUUUUUCUUUUUGUUUCUUUUGUGUUAUUUUGAGAAGAUAAUCUGGGCUUGGCCUGACCUUACAUGUUUUGUUGCCACUGGAGUUGCGGGUAGAAGACGGUGUGUUUAGCUGUAUAGAAUUUGUUUUACCAGGCAUGUACAUUAACAGCUAAGUGGAAUCUGUUUGUGGUCAGAAAGUGGCCAUGACACAAUUGAACGUGUGUAUUUGUAUUUAAAUGUUUUGAUUGUGCCUAAUAAUUAGUCCAUUUGCCAGUCAGAAUGCUGCUAUAUCUGGUGAAAAUGUGCAAUUUCAGUGUACUGUACUGUUGAAUGUAAUAAAGAAAUAGACAUUUCUUACCUUGGUAAACUGUUUUAAGUGGAGUUUUUGUUUAAAGCAUA